GGAAUGCCUUUAGCUCUAGCUAUUGCAAGCUUUUAAGAACUUAUUGGAACACAAAUGCUCAUUUCAAGGAAACAGAUAACAGUUGCAAAUGGAUUAAACAUAAUCCCUGUACUGGAGCCCUUGAAGGAAAAGAGAUGGGGGUUUCUGGGUUGUGAGAUGAAGCUUGGUCAAGGAUGCUUGCUUUGAGGACUCUGCUCUGAAAACCCAGGAAGGAGAAGACUCGGGAUUCAAAAUCAUGCAGCCUAGUGCAGAGCCAGCACCCUGACCCUCCCUGUGAGAGCUCUUCAAGGAAGCCUUCAGUGGGUUCCCUAUGGUCUAAUGUUUCAUGAAGCUUCUAUAGUCCAGGCUCCAAUCCUGAGAACCCUGAUGUGAAAAACCCUGGAAUGAUCAAAGAGGGAAAGGUGUGUGAAGACCAUCAGAAGUUACAGAACAAACAGUAACAUUUGUGUUCACUCAAAUCUGAAGUAAGAGAGUUGUAAAUUCCUUGUGUGGACAAGGAAGAGUGGCUGUAUCAUACCAAAAAAUUUUUAAAAACAAAUGUAUUUUUUGUUCAAAAAUGUUCUUCCAUUUAUCUGAAAACUGAAACACAUGCUUUUCCAAUA